rnacentral:rRNA from 1 species
UACAUGGGGUGCAAACGUUGCUCGGAAUCAUUGGGCGUAAAGCGCGCGUAGGCGGUUACUUAAGUUGGAUGUGAAAGCCCUCGGCUUAACCGAGGAAGUGCAUCCAAAACUGAGUAGCUAGAGUACGAAAGAGGGUCGCGGAAUUCCCGGUGUAGAGGUGAAAUUCGUAGAUAUCGGGAGGAACACCGGUGGCGAAGGCGGCGACCUGGGUCGAGACUGACGCUGAGGCGCGAAAGCCAGGGGAGCAAACGGG